rnacentral:pre_miRNA from 1 species
AAUGACAAUUAAUCGCAAUUGGACCAUCCGAACUUUAAGGGCUCCGAUUGCGUUAGUUGGCAUAG